UUAUUUUUAUUAAAUUAAAAUUAAUUAGUUAUUAAAUGUAUAAUCAUUAAAAAUAAAAAAUUUGGCGGUAUUUAAUAUUUAGAGGAACUUGUUUGUUAAAUUGAUAAUCCACGAAUGGAAAUACUUAAUUUGAUAAUUUUAUGUAUUGUUGUUGAAAAAUUGUAUUAAAAGAUAAAAAUUAAAAAAUUUAAUUUAAUUAUAAUUCAAAUCAAAAUGUAGAAUAAUUAAGAAUUAAAAUGAGUUACAGUUAAAUAAAUAAUUGAAUUUUAUAAUUUAAUUUAUAAAUGAAAAUGGAUUUAAAAGUAAAUUUAUAAAAAUUUAUAAAUGAAA
rnacentral:rRNA from 1 species